rnacentral:rRNA from 1 species
AUUGAACGCUAGCGGAAGGCCUAACACCUGCAAGUCGAACGAGUGGCGGACGGGUGAGUAAUGUCUGGGAAAGUGCCCAAUGGAGGGGGAUAACUAUUGGAAACAGUAGAUAAUACCGCCUACCCUAGGUGGGGCCCAUAUGGGAUUAGCUAGUAGGUGGGGUAAGGGCUCACCUAGGCGACGAUCCAUAGCUGGUCUGAGAGGAGGACCAGCCACACUGUAACUGAGACACGGUCCAGACUCCUACGUGAGGCAGCAGUGGUGAAUAUUGCACAAUGGGCGCAAGCCUGAUGCAGCCAUGCCGCGUGUAUGAAGAAGGCCUUCGGGUUGUAAAGUACUUUCAGCGAGGAGGCGUUACUCGCAGAAGAAGCACCGGCUAACUCCGUGCCAGCAGCCGCGGUAAUAC